rnacentral:lncRNA from 1 species
UUAUCUUAGAAACCGCCCAGCUUCUCAGAUUUGCAGAAGAAGAUCCAAACCGAUCGAUCGUAAAGCCUGCAAAAGCCCCAGCCCUGCUCCUGUCCUGCUCCACAGCCGCUCAUGACAGCUUUCAGGCGGGGUGACGGCUCUGCGCGGUGCGAGGUUGUGUUGUGUUUGUGCAGGAGCUCACUCACCAGCUGCGGGUCUGCUUAGGUCCAAGGGUCAAUGAGAAGGAUAAGUCCCCUGAAGGGCCCAGUGUGUCUAUGCCAGGACCAGAGGCCACCGCAGAACCGGAGGAGGUCUGUGCGGUUCAGAAGUCCCCUGAAGGGCCCAGUGUGUCUAUACCAGGACCAGGGCCACCACAGAACCGGAGGCGGUCAGGAGCCAAAUGGGUGAAACGCAUCAGGGCAGAAGACGUGGACAUUUGAUGGAGAGAAGAUUCAGGAUUGUGAGGACCAUAAGGCAGAAGAUGUGAGGGGAACGUCUUUCAUUCAUUGAGGAGGAGCUCCAGGUGCUACGGGGAGGUCUCGUCAAAACGUAAGUCGCGUUAUUAUUUCUGACCGGAUCAUUUAUCUGUCGGUUUAUACAGGUUUAAACCUGUGGC